rnacentral:rRNA from 1 species
CACGUAGGCGGCCUGGUAAGUCAGAUGUGAAAGCCCGGGGCUUAACCCCGGAAGUGCAUUUGAUACUGUCAGGCUUGAGUAUGGGAGAGGGAAGUGGAAUUCCUGGUGUAGAGGUGAAAUUCGUAGAUAUCAGGAGGAACACCGGUGGCGAAGGCGACUUCCUGGACCAAUACUGACGCUGAGGUGCGAAGGCGUGUGUAGCAAACA